AAUUUCCCAGGAGGCCUUGCUCUUCGUCCUUGGGGAGUGAUGGUGGUACGGCGGCGUCUGCUAGGAAACCAAAAGUCAGAUGACCUAACCUGCCCAGAUCUCUUAAUUACAAAGCUUGGAAAUGGUCGACUCAGCAAGGAAUGUGGUCUUUGAUAUGGAAAGCCUUCACCUAAGGAAUCUCUCAAUCCCUCUGGGACUCUGAAGCAAGGACAAUUAUUUUGAGAUCUCGUGUUCUUUUAUGUUCGUUUGUUCAUUCAACAAAUACUCAUUGAGGACUCAUAUAUAUCAAGCGUAAAUAUUUUAUUGUUUCUGCAUAUGUCUUACUUUCUAGACUUUAAGAUUCUUAUGAAGUAAUAGGUGUAAAACUAUCAUCAUACUUGGUGCAUGGUACAUGAUCAAUAAAAUUGGUUGUUCUUCUCCCUCACUUACCCUAAGGGGAGGAAUUUUAUUUUAAUAAAACCUAGUUUUCCACAUG